rnacentral:rRNA from 1 species
GUGGGGAAUCUUGCGCAAUGGGCGAAAGCCUGACGCAGCCAUGCCGCGUGAAUGAUGAAGGUCUUAGGAUUGUAAAAUUCUUUCACCGGGGACGAUAAUGACGGUACCCGGAGAAGAAGCUCCGGCUAACUUCGAGCCAGCAGCCGCGGUAAUACGAAGGGGGCUAGCGUUGCUCGGAAUUACUGGGCGUAAAGGGCGCGUAGGCGGACAGCUUAGUCAGAGGUGAAAGCCCAGGGCUCAACCUUGGAAUUGCCUUUGAUACUGGCUGUCUUGAGUUUGGGAGAGGUGAGUGGAACUCCGAGUGUAGAGGUGAAAUUCGUAGAUAUUCGGAAGAACACCAGUGGCGAAGGCGACUCACUGGCCCAAUACUGACACUGAGGUGCGAAAGCAUGGGGAGCAAACAGGAUUAGAAACCCGUGUAGUCC